rnacentral:tRNA from 1 species
AAUGAAGUGCCUGAAAAAGGACCAUUUUGAUAGAAUGGAUCAUGUGAUUCCAUCACCUUCAUUA